rnacentral:rRNA from 1 species
UGGCGGACGGGUGAGUAACGCGUGGGUAACCUGCCUUACACAGGGGGAUAACACCUGGAAACAGGUGCUAAUACCGCAUAAGCGCACAGGGCCGCAUGGCCCGGUGUGAAAAACUCCGGUGGUGUAAGAUGGACCCGCGUCUGAUUAGCUUGUUGGCGGGGUAGGGGCCCACCAAGGCGACGAUCAGUAGCCGGCCUGAGAGGGUGGACGGCCACAUUGGGACUGAGACACGGACCAGACUCCUACGGAAGGCAGCAG